rnacentral:lncRNA from 1 species
AAUUUCGGGAUUCCCGAAAUAUUUUCGGUAUUUCGGAAUUUCCCGAAACCGAACAUCAUCAGAAUCCAAAUCGUCUUAGAUUAAUAUUGAAAUCAUCCGAACCUGCAUUAAAAAUCCAAAUUGAAAUCAGAGACAUAGUGAUAGUGAAUCAGUGAAAGAUUUAUGGUCGAGAAAGAAGCAUAGUGAAGAAAGGGACCUCCUCCUGACCCGAGCCCCCAAUUCGAAACCCUAAGCCCCAAUUCAAAACCCUAACCUCAAUUCGAAAUCCCACACACACAGAGAAUCACUGGAGAGAACCGGAGGUGGGGAUGAAGCCAUGAGGUGUGGUGGUGGCCGGAGUGGAGAUAGUUCGUCGGAGUCAGAUUGCUAGACGGUGGGUGGUUGCUAAGCUUCAAAUCCGAGAAAGAGAAGGAGAGUCUGAGACUGAGUGAAGGCAGAUGAGAGGCGAAAUGAAAUGAGAGAGAGUGAGUAGGGAUGUUUGGCUUGGUUUUGGAUUGGGUGGAAGGAAAGGUUAGGUGGUUUUUGGGUUGUAGAGAGAGAGAGAGAGAGAGAGAGAGAAUACGAGAGAGAUGAGACAGAAAAAAUAAGAGGGAUAAAGGAUUAGGUAGGUUAUGAGUUGUAGAAAGAGACGAGACAGAAAAUAAGAGAGAGAUGAAGGGUUAGGUUAUGGGUUGUAGAGAGAGGGAGUCUGGGAGAUAAUCAAGAAGAGAGAUGACUGAUGAGACAGAAAAUAGGGAAGAGAAGAAAGCAAGCACCCUUGCCUUGCGUGACCCAUCCCUUCCCAUGUGCUUGAUGCAACGUUUGUCAGCACCACACCACACACACACUGACACAUAUACAUAUAUAUAUACACACACACACACCGACGCAUAUACAUAUACACACACACACACACACACACACACUGACGCAUAUACAUAUACACACACACACACACAUUCCAACACACACACACAGACGCACACACACACAUGCACACACACACAUAUAUAUAAUAUACCUAAUAUAAUAUUAAUAAAAUUCGGUU